UUCUAAACCUGAUGGGAACGGCAGCCCGAGCUUUUCGCGAGGCUAUAGUGUACAGCAGGACUGAUG
rnacentral:sRNA from 1 species